rnacentral:rRNA from 1 species
CAGCCGCCGCGGGAAUACGUAGGUGGCAAGCGUUGUCCGGAAUUAUUGGGCGUAAAGGGCUCGCAGGCGGUUUCUUAAGUCUGAUGUGAAAGCCCCCGGCUCAACCGGGGAGGGUCAUUGGAAACUGGGAAACUUGAGUGCAGAAGAGGAGAGUGGAAUUCCACGUGUAGCGGUGAAAUGCGUAGAGGUGUGGAGGAACACCAGUGGCGAAGGCGACUCUCUGGUCUGUAACUGACGCUGAGGAGCGAAAGCGUGGGGAGCGAACAGGAUUAGAUACCCCCGUAGUCCCUGUCUCUUAUAA